GUGUCUCUCCCACAGUCCUCCGUCUAAGGACAGAGCCCCCGGCGCUAGGGGGGCUUCUGCGUAGCUGCCGACAGGCAGGUGCUCUAGGCUAUAAACGCUGCGUCGCCCCCCCCCACUCCCCCCGUGCAGUCUUGCCCCCCCGCGGGGCUAGAUAGAUGGGGUGGAGCAGCGGGCGGAGCUCCGCCUUGGCGGACUUGGAGGCCUGCGACAGCCCAUGUUGUCCAAACUGUCCCUGUGCGGCUCUCUAGGGCUCGCCGGAAGCGGGAUGCUCCCCCUUCGCGCGCCUGUGUCGGCGGGAGUGGUAACGGUUGUGGCUCGGGCCGCUACGACCAUGGCCUGCAGACGCGGGGCGCUGGUGGUGCUGGAGGGGAUGGACCGGACAGGGAAGACCACGCAGAGCCGGAGGCUGGUGGAAGCGCUGCGGGCAUCUGGGCACCUCGCCGAGCUCCUGCGAUUCCCGGACAGAACAACAGAAAUUGGGCGGUUAAUUAGCUCCUACUUGGAGAACAAGAGCAAUUUGGAAGACCACACAGUGCAUCUGCUUUUCUCUGCUAACCGCUGGGAACAAGUACCGUUGAUUAAAGAGAAGUUAAAUCAAGGCAUCACUCUAGUGGUGGACAGAUACGCCUUUUCUGGGGUGGCCUUCACAGGUGCUAAAGAGAAUUUCUCGUUGGAUUGGUGCAAACAGCCUGAUGUAGGGCUUCCAAAGCCAGAUUUGAUCCUAUUUCUUCAGUUGAGCACGUUGGAGGCAGCAAAACGAGGGGACUUCGGAAACGAACGCUAUGAGAACAGCUCCUUCCAGGAGAAAGUUCUACAGAACUACUACCAUAUGAUAAAGGACAAGACUUUAAACUGGAAGAAGGAGGGGUGGGGACCCAGAGAGAAAAAAAGACUCCUGCCUUGUGCUAAAGCUAUAAAAGGGAGUGGAGCAGAACAAAGGAGGGUAGUUAUUAUAAAGCCCCUGUUUUCCACCUAAGAGAUCUGCUGGAACUAACAAGAACUGUACCGGGGAAAGGAUUGGGCCCAGACUAGGAAGGAGUCUAGUCUGUGAAAAGCUUAUUGAAACAUCUCUGAGGGGAACGCCACUGCAGUCAAGAUCUGCAAAGGCAGUCCUCAUGUGAACACAGAUUCAGAGGUGUUAAAGCCAGAAGAGAACGCAUCACCUAGUCCUGUACAAUACAAGCAGAGAUUCCAGCAGCAAGCCCAAUAUCUUGCCAGGCCUAGAGAUAGAUUCUUGGAGGACUGUCCUCCAUUGGAAUUGACUUGUCUUUUUGGUCCACCAAGCCUGGGAGCAAGGGGUAAAGUCCAUUUCCUCUCUCAAGUUUUUGCCCCACUGGGAUUGAUUUCACAGGGAGGCGGGAGACUAUUUGGUUGGGACACCACACUAUUCAGCACGAUUGCUUUUAUACUGCACACUGAAAAGUAAAAAACUACCCCAUUGCAUUGCACAGAAGGAACAAAAGGUAAAGCCCAGCACUUACUUGAGCACUUGUGCAACUGUGUUUGGUCCGUACCACUGGCCUAUCGAUUUGCCCUCUCCAACUCCCAUCUGGGCUGCACCAAGUAGACAACCAAAUUAGUCAGCAGCCUCCACCCUUUGCUCCUUCUCACAGCCCCUCGUGUCCUACUGCUGGAGUUUGAUGUUGUUAAUCAUGAUCGGUUACAAAAAAGGAUUUUAUGUGAAGAGCUACAGCUUGGGUCUGGGCUAUACUAAAAGGUUAGGUGAACCCAGCCAUGUCUAUCAGGGGUGUGAAAAAUUCACACCCCUAAGCGAUGUAGUUAAACUGACCUGACCCCAGCGUAGACAGCACUGCGUCAACAGAAGAAUUCUUCCAUCAACCUAGCUCCUGCCUCUCGGGGAAGUGGAUUACCGUACACUGACAGGAGAACCCCUCCUGUCAGCAUAGGUAGCGUCUACACUGCAGUAUUACCACUGCAGCAUUGCAAGUGCAGACAAGCCCUUAGACAUGCUUUGGAGUCGGAUCAUGCCAUCUUGCCAGGGGUGUGAAGAGAUCAUAGCACCUCAUGUGACUAACAAUGGUCCUCCCAGUCAAUUAAGAAGCCAUGUUAAUAGGCUCCAAAAAGGAGUCGCAGAGUAUGACUGAGAGAAGCAAGAUGGGUUCAGAACUCAGGAACGAGACAAAGGGAGUUCCUAAAAAGGCUAAGAACUUCAGAUGCCUCAGAGGAAAUGCUAUUUAGAAGCAAUUCUAUUUAAAACAACAAUGCCUGAUUUUUCAGAGGUGCUGAGCACCCACCGUUCCCACUGUCUAACUAGAGUGCAGGUACUUAGCUCCUCUCAAAAACAGGCCCAUUGCCAUUUUUGCUUUGCUUUUCCUUCUCCUUCAUCCUUAGAACACUUGCCCCUGGACAGGAUUCUUGUGGAGUUCAUGAGCGCCUCCUACUCAUUUCCCCACCUGAUGCAAUCUUCUUGCUUGCAAGAUUCCUGUGUAGCUGCUGUGGGCAUGACAGUCAUCAUAUUCUCCCCCGUCUUGAGACGGCAAGUACAAGGGAGACAAGGAUACUGGCAUUAGGCUGAAAGGGUUUUCAUGUCACAAAUCCUUCAACCCUUAAAUCAAUAGCCUUAGUUUUAGCAACAUCACAUAGGAAGCAGUGCUGUAUAUAUUUCAUUCAUACACAGCAGCACAAAUACAUAGAAGCUGAUCUGGACACACUUUACCACAGUUCUUAGCAAAUUAUUAUUACAUCAAUCUCUCACAAGUAGGUUACUUCUGAAGUUGCUGUGCUACUAAAAUAAACCUGAAGAAUCUGUUGCUGUUCUGUAACAUUCAGGGAAGCCCAGGGCAGGACGCGCCUAUCUACAACUGCCUCUUACCUAUCUGGUGGAUGGAGUAGUAGCUGUCUUUUUUGUCAAUGAAAGCAUUAAGUACGUUGAAGUAAUUAUCCGUCUGCCUCUUCCCUUUCACCCACCUCCAAUCUAAGAGAUGCAGGGGGGGAGAGGGGGGGGAAAAAAAAAAAGAUAGGUUACUUACUAGUAUACUUCUCCGCAUGUUACUACUUAGUAGGACUUCCUUUAGGCUAUGAGUCAGAAGUCUUACUAGGGACCUGUGAAGAUCCCAAAAAAGGACCACAUUUAACACAAGUAAAAGGGUUUUUUCAGAGGCGGGAAUUAAAGACAUGGUAAAAAAAUCAAUUCCAGGACAUGCAUUGACCCUUCUCUGUAAGGAUGCAUUGGCUCCCAAGGAGAGGGAAUAUCAUGCACCCCAAAAAUCCCACAAGCAUGAAAGAACAUUGGAAUUUCUAGUGCCCAGAAAGUCAUUGCAGAAGUGGGGCAGUUGGUUUGGGAAGAACAGGAUGCCAGUGCCAAAAGGUGUCUCCUGCCAAUCCACAGAACUUUAGCAGCAGCAGCCAUAGAAGAGACCAUGUAUCACAAAGUGUCAGCUGGCUACGGGUGUCACUUCUAGAAAGGUGGGAGUCAGGGAGAGGCUGGAAGGCAUCUCAGCAGAAGGUUAAAAAUAAAAGUAACAGUUGCCUACUGUACAGCAAUUUUAACCAGCGUCAAAGUUUCAGGCAUACAAAUCUGGGAAGUUUGGAGCUCUCUUGGCUAGCACUUUCAGGGGUCUCAAACAUGAAAUGGCAUUCUGCUCAUCUUGGGGGAUGGGGAAGAGGUUUUGCAGUAAUUUAAAAAAGCUCCGCAAACAAAACCAGUCUAACAGUCAGCAGAAUAUCUGCAGGCUGCCAUAGCAAUAAAUCCAAAUGCUAGGGUGUCCCCGCCCCUCCCCUCCCCCCCCCCGAAUGACAUGAUCUUGUCUCCAAACACCCACUGGUACAAGGGGAAAGCAAGCUGCUCCACUGGUGCAGAGGAAUUUACAAGAACACUUUUUACUGGCUAGCACAGCCCUUGUCAAUUGUCCAUACAGAUUUAUUAAUGUUGAUUUGGAAGGAAGAGAUGCUAGUGAAACUCACUAGGAUGUUUCCAUUGGGGCUGCUUCAUCAUCUAGCUCUUCCGGUGAGAAGAGCUAGGGAAACUUUACAUGGAGCCCACAGCAAUUUCAAGUUGUGCCGUUUCUCUUUGUUGCCCUAACAAGUGCACCAUCAUUUGGACUGGCUCUGGAUACCUCCCUUAAAGAUGCAUUGAUUUACCUCUGCCUAAGUGCCGGCAGACCAAUGCCUGUGCGAAGAUCAUCUGACCACACCUCAACAUGCAGCCCCAGCCGGUAUCAGAUGUGGGGCCUGUUCCUCCUGUAGCCAAGCAAAACAAUCAGAACAGAAUGUAAGGAUUAGACCAGCUGUCUAGUCACAGUGCAAUACAAUGGGAGGUGAGAGAGGGAGAACUUGGAGCGCUCUAGGUAUGCAAGGUGGGUGUUAUAACAACAGAGACUCAUCUGCCAGACAAUGAUGCUGAGGGAUAAAUACAGAUUUAAGAGGCAAACCCUACCACCUGACCUUUAAGAAAAAUAAAGCCAGGCACUUACGGAAGACGGGUGAGUUUCAAGUAAAUAUCCAAUUCAGACUGGUGAAUGAGACAUGGGAUCAUACCAGCCCUCAGGCAUGGGUCUGUGAACAGAUCUCCAGCCCAAGCUACCAGAAACCUAUUUAUAUAUUUCAGAUAAAGGUGUUUUAUGGACUAUUUUCCCCAUAAUCUUCA